GUGACUAUGAGCGUAAAUGGAUAACGUUGGAGAUUGUGAUUCUCCUGAUGUGGGAUCGUACCCCACUAGUCACA
rnacentral:tRNA from 1 species